rnacentral:rRNA from 1 species
UACGGAGGGGACUAGCGUUGUUCGGAAUUACUGGGCGUAAAGCGCACGUAGGCGGAUUUGUAAGUCAGGGGUGAAAUCCCGAGGCUCAACCUCGGAACUGCCUUUGAUACUGCAAAUCUCGAGUCCGGAAGAGGUGAGUGGAAUUCCUAGUGUAGAGGUGAAAUUCGUAGAUAUUAGGAAGAACACCAGUGGCGAAGGCGGCUCACUGGUCCGGUACUGACGCUGAGGUGCGAAAGCGUGGGGAGCGAACCGG